rnacentral:rRNA from 1 species
CGUUGUCCGGAUUCAUUGGGCGUAAAGAGCGUGUAGGCGGCCAGGUAGGUCGGUUGUGAAAACUGGAGGCUCAACCUUCAGAGGUCGACCGAAACCAUCUGGCUAGAGUCCGGGAGAGGAGAGUGGAAUUCCUGGUGUAGCGGUGAAAUGCGCAGAUAUCAGGAAGAACACCCGUGGCGAAAGCGGCUCUCUGGAACGGUACUGACGCUGAGACGCGAAAGCGUGGGGAGCGAACAGG